rnacentral:pre_miRNA from 13 species
UUAGGCCUUUAACAGAAGUGAGCCAGUUCUCCCUGGGCUCUUGCUUGAUCUUGAGGAACUUGCCUAUUGCUUUGCUCAGGACUGAGCU